AUCGAACGCUGGCGGCAGGCCUAACACAUGCAAGUCGAACGAGUGGCGGACGGGUGAGCAAUGUCUGGGAAACUGCCUGACGGAGGGGGAUAACUACUGGAAACGGUAGCUAAUACCGCAAACGAUCAGAUGUGCCCAGAUGGGAUUAGCUAGUUGGUGGGGUAACGGCUCACCAAGGCGACGAUCCCUAGCUGGUCUGAGAGGAUGACCAGCCACACUGGAACUGAGACACGGUCCAGACUCCUACGUGAGGCAGCAGUGGGGAAUAUUGCGCAAUGGGCGCAAGCCUGAUGCAGCCAUGCCGCGUGUGUGAAGAAGGCUUUCGGGUUGUAAAGUACUGUCGUUGGGGAGGCGUUACCCGCAGAGGAAGCACCGGCUAACUCCGUGCCAGCAGCCGCGGUAAUUC
rnacentral:rRNA from 1 species